rnacentral:rRNA from 1 species
UACGUAGGGUGCGAGCGUUGUCCGGAUUUAUUGGGCGUAAAGAGCGUGUAGGCGGCCACACAGGUCUGCUGUGAAAACUCGAGGCUCAACCUCGAGCUGUCGGUGGAAACCGUGUGGCUAGAGUCCGGAAGAGGAGAGUGGAAUUCCCGGUGUAGCGGUGAAAUGCGCAGAUAUCGGGAAGAACACCCGUGGCGAAGGCGGCUCUCUGGGACGGUACUGACGCUGAGACGCGAAAGCGUGGGGAGCGAACAGG